CCGGUCUUCCCCUCAUCCCUAUCUCCUUGCUCUCUCUCUCCUCUCUUCCCUUCGUUCGACGCUUUCAGCUUCUGCCUUGCUUUCGUUCUUCUCGGUGGACCGAACUAUUCUGCCCCUUCUCCUUUCAAUUUUCUUCCUUGCAAAACUACCAAAAUUGUUGCCUCAAUUCCCUGCAAACUGCCAGGCGUUCCCUGCUCCACGCAUCCAAGCAGCAGUUGAAGCUGCCGCCCCCAUGUCCAUGACACCAGCAGCUUCGGUCUUCACGCCUACCCUCUCCACCACCGUUUGUUUCCCCUGAGUCAACCGAAGCUCCCCACGCUGACUCACUCCACUGAAUUGAAGCCCAUCUCCUCAUAUUCCUCUUCGUCCCUGCUCCACUACCGAAUCAAUCCAGUGAAGCCGAAGCAGCUCGCCCUCUCUCCACUUCGGCUUAUCCCCUAUGCUGCAUGUCUCCUGGUUGUCCGCCCAACGACCGCAAGCAGCUUCAUCUUCGUUGCUUCGUUCUUCUUCAACGUCGUUGCUUGAAGACUCCAACGAAGCAGCUGUCCACGAAGACUGAAACACCCCUAAUCGAUAGCUGCAACCCACGCGUCCGCAGCAUCUCCUUCGUUCGCUGCUCCUUCGUCCAGCAUCGAUCAACCGAAGCACCAUCUCCAGCGAAUUCGGCCCAGCACGUUCAUGCGUCUUCAGCCCACACGAUUUCAGCCCAGAUUUCGGUCCAUCUCAGCCUGAGUGAGCCCAGCAGUUGGGCCAUUUGAAGCCCACGAAAUUUGCAGCAGUCCAACCCAGUGAAGCAAUUUACUUAGCCCAUUAAUUAAGUCCAACAGCCCAAGUCUUGGCCCAGCAGCAAGCCCACGCCUUUUAGAAGCCCAGCAGAAUCAGAAGCCCGCGAUUUUGAGGCCCAAGCCUGCAAAGUCAGGCCCACCGAAUCAGUGGACUCAGCCCAGCUCGAGCAGGGAGCUUGUAGGCCGAUUUCAGCCCUAGUUUGACCCCGGUUGGCGAACCCGCUUUGGAGAGGAUUGACCCUUGUCGCGUGCUCGUUGAUUUGGUCCAAUCGGCUCGUUAAUCAAGUCCUUGGAUGUAGUAGACUUGGAUGUUGAAGAUCUCGAAAGUCCAGUGCAGUCUGCUGAAGGCUCCAGUUGAAGUGUAGAGGAUGAUGGAGAGGAGGAUAGGAACCCGUAGUUUGUAGAACCCCACUCUUGUUUGUAUACCUUAUUUUUACACUGGCUUAAGUUGAAUUUGACUUAAUAGUUCACCUUGUAUAUAUUGGUGCACUGGUUUGCAAUGUAUAUGUGAGUGAACGUUUUAAAGGUUUGAAAUUUAAUCCUACUAUGUUAUCCCAA